UUAAGCGACUAAGCGUACACGGUGGAUGCCCUGGCAGUCAGAGGCGAUGAAGGACGUGCUAAUCUGCGAAAAGCGUCGGUAAGGUGAUAUGAACCGUUAUAGCCGGCGAUGUCCGAAUGGGGAAACCCAGUGUGAUUCGUCACACUAUCGUUAACUGAAUACAUAGGUUAACGAGGCGAACCGGGGGAACUGAAACAUCUAAGUACCCCGAGGAAAAGAAAUCAACCGAGAUUCCCCCAGUAGCGGCGAGCGAACGGGGAGCAGCCCAGAGUUUGAAUCAGCUUGUGUGUUAGUGGAACGGUCUGGAAAGUCCGACGGUACAGGGUGAUAGUCCCGUACACCAAAAUGCACAGGCUGUGAACUCGAAGAGUAGGGCGGGACACGUGGUAUCCUGUCUGAAUAUGGGGGGACCAUCCUCCAAGGCUAAAUACUCCUGACUGACCGAUAGUGAACCAGUACCGUGAGGGAAAGGCGAAAAGAACCCCGGCGAGGGGAGUGAAAAAGAACCUGAAACCGUGUACGUACAAGCAGUGGGAGCACCUUCGGGUGUGACUGCGUACCUUUUGUAUAAUGGGUCAGCGACUUAUAUUCUGUAGCAAGGUUAACCGUAUAGGGGAGCCGCAGGGAAACCGAGUCUUAACUGGGCGUUAAGUUGCAGGGUAUAGACCCGAAACCCGGUGAUCUAGCCAUGGGCAGGUUGAAGGUUGGGUAACACUAACUGGAGGACCGAACCGACUAAUGUUGAAAAAUUAGCGGAUGACUUGUGGCUGGGGGUGAAAGGCCAAUCAAACCGGGAGAUAGCUGGUUCUCCCCGAAAGCUAUUUAGGUAGCGCCUCGUGAAUUCAUCUUCGGGGGUAGAGCACUGUUUCGGCUAGGGGGUCAUCCCGACUUACCAACCCGAUGCAAACUACGAAUACCGAAGAAUGUUAUCACGGGAGACACACGGCGGGUGCUAACGUCCGUCGUGAAGAGGGAAACAACCCAGACCGCCAGCUAAGGUCCCAAAGUCAUGGUUAAGUGGGAAACGAUGUGGGAAGGCACAGACAGCCAGGAUGUUGGCUUAGAAGCAGCCAUCAUUUAAAGAAAGCGUAAUAGCUCACUGGUCGAGUCGGCCUGCGCGGAAGAUGUAACGGGGCUAAACCAUGCACCGAAGCUGCGGCAGCGACACUAUGUGUUGUUGGGUAGGGGAGCGUUCUGUAAGCCUGCGAAGGUGUGCUGUGAGGCAUGCUGGAGGUAUCAGAAGUGCGAAUGCUGACAUAAGUAACGAUAAAGCGGGUGAAAAGCCCGCUCGCCGGAAGACCAAGGGUUCCUGUCCAACGUUAAUCGGGGCAGGGUGAGUCGACCCCUAAGGCGAGGCCGAAAGGCGUAGUCGAUGGGAAACAGGUUAAUAUUCCUGUACUUGGUGUUACUGCGAAGGGGGGACGGAGAAGGCUAUGUUAGCCGGGCGACGGUUGUCCCGGUUUAAGCAUGUAGGCUGAUUGUCCAGGCAAAUCCGGAUAAUCAAGGCUGAGGUGUGAUGACGAGGCACUACGGUGCUGAAGUAACAAAUGCCCUGCUUCCAGGAAAAGCCUCUAAGCAUCAGGUAACAUUAAAUCGUACCCCAAACCGACACAGGUGGUCAGGUAGAGAAUACCAAGGCGCUUGAGAGAACUCGGGUGAAGGAACUAGGCAAAAUGGUGCCGUAACUUCGGGAGAAGGCACGCUGGUGUGUAGGUGAAGUCCCUGCGGAUGGAGCUGAGACCAGUCGAAGAUACCAGCUGGCUGCAACUGUUUAUUAAAAACACAGCACUGUGCAAACACGAAAGUGGACGUAUACGGUGUGACGCCUGCCCGGUGCCGGAAGGUUAAUUGAUGGGGUUAUCCGUAAGGAGAAGCUCUUGAUCGAAGCCCCGGUAAACGGCGGCCGUAACUAUAACGGUCCUAAGGUAGCGAAAUUCCUUGUCGGGUAAGUUCCGACCUGCACGAAUGGCGUAAUGAUGGCCAGGCUGUCUCCACCCGAGACUCAGUGAAAUUGAACUCGCUGUGAAGAUGCAGUGUACCCGCGGCAAGACGGAAAGACCCCGUGAACCUUUACUAUAGCUUGACACUGAACAUUGAGCCUUGAUGUGUAGGAUAGGUGGGAGGCUUUGAAGCGUGGACGCCAGUCUGCGUGGAGCCAACCUUGAAAUACCACCCUUUAAUGUUUGAUGUUCUAACGUUGGCCCCUUACCGGGGUUGCGGACAGUGUCUGGUGGGUAGUUUGACUGGGGCGGUCUCCUCCCAAAGCGUAACGGAGGAGCACGAAGGUUAGCUAAUCCUGGUCGGACAUCAGGAGGUUAGUGCAAUGGCAUAAGCUAGCUUGACUGCGAGCGUGACGGCGCGAGCAGGUGCGAAAGCAGGUCAUAGUGAUCCGGUGGUUCUGAAUGGAAGGGCCAUCGCUCAACGGAUAAAAGGUACUCCGGGGAUAACAGGCUGAUACCGCCCAAGAGUUCAUAUCGACGGCGGUGUUUGGCACCUCGAUGUCGGCUCAUCACAUCCUGGGGCUGAAGUAGGUCCCAAGGGUAUGGCUGUUCGCCAUUUAAAGUGGUACGCGAGCUGGGUUUAGAACGUCGUGAGACAGUUCGGUCCCUAUCUGCCGUGGGCGCUGGAGAAUUGAGGGGGGCUGCUCCUAGUACGAGAGGACCGGAGUGGACGCAUCACUGGUGUUCGGGUUGUCAUGCCAAUGGCACUGCCCGGUAGCUAAAUGCGGAAGAGAUAAGUGCUGAAAGCAUCUAAGCACGAAACUUGCCCCGAGAUGAGUUCUCCCUGAGACUUUAAGUCUCCUGAAGGAACGUUGAAGACGACGACGUUGAUAGGCCGGGUGUGUAAGCGCAGCGAUGCGUUGAGCUAACCGGUACUAAUGAACCGUGAGGCUUAACCUU
rnacentral:rRNA from 1 species